UUGUACUGCAUUACUGAAAAUACUAAUGUUUCAGUUGCCUGUGGUCCCCUAUAGUCCAGAAGCAUAUGAUCCUUCUGAUGAAGCAUCAUAAGGUCACUAUCAGCCUAACUCUACAUUACAAUGCCUAGUCAUUCACCUCACUUCACUUCAUCAUGAGGACCUUUUAUCAUUUCACAUCACCACAAGAAGAAGGCCCAUCCAGGCAAUAUCUUGAAACAUUGAAGAGAUCAGCAACAUUACAGAAGAGAGUAUGGAUCAG